rnacentral:misc_RNA from 1 species
GAUGAAGAACGUAGCGAAAUGCGAUAAGUAAUGUGAAUUGCAGAAUUCAGUGAAUCAUCGAAUCUUUGAACGCACAUUGCGCCCGCCAGCACUCUGGCGGGCAUGCCUGUUCGAGCGUCAUUUCAACCAUCAAGCCCCCAGGGGCUUGUGCUGGGGCCCUGCGGCUGCCCGCAGGCCCUGAAAACCAGUGGCGGGCUCGCUAGUCACACCGAGCGCAGUAGCACAUCUCGCUCAGGGCGUGCGGCGGGCUCCUGCCGUGAAACCCCCCACUGUAACCCCAAAGGUUGACCUCGGAUCAGGUAGGAAAACCCGCUGAACUUAAGCAUAUCAAUAAGCGGAGGA